CGGGGUCCUCCGGGAGCCUCGAGAACGUUCUGGGAGGGGCAGGACUGGGUUGGUCCGUGAGUGACGAACUGCCUGGCGGCCAUAGUUAACGCGAGGGGUUUGGUUGGUGAGGAACGAAGCGCAGUGCUUCGCCGACUGUUGACAAACCGCAGAGGCCGCAGACAGCCCCGGUGAGAGCUGCCCCGGAGACUUUUCUCCAAGACAGAAAUAAAACAGGUCUGACCAUGACAGCAGUGUCCUUGCCAGUGGGAUCCCAGGAAUCAGUGACUUUUGAGGAUGUGGCCGUGUACUUCACUAAGAAGGAAUGGGUCAGCCUGACACCUGCUCAGAGAGCCUUGUACAAGGAAGUGAUGUUGGAGAACUUCGGGAUGGUGACUUCCCUAGCACCGUCACCCAUCUCCACACCAGCUCUGAUCUCUCGGCUGGAGCAGGGGAAGGAGCCAUGGUCCACGCGGCCUCAGGGAGCCCUGAGCAGGCGGGCCCGUCGAGCCGUCCUCAUACGAUACAUCGCAAAACUAAGAAGAUUUACUUACUUAGCUAAAAUGGUGUCACGUGCAAUAAGAUUAAAACUUCGUCAGAGUCGCCAUUGCCGUGAAGACAGAACAAAAGCUUAAUUCUUGAGCUUUAAAUGCGAGUUUUCAAGUAAGGAAUUAAGAGUCACCUUACGUGAAGUCAAGUGCGUGUUUUCUUUUCCUGUAAGUUCGUGGAUUUCUACAGAUUGAAUCUUUCCCAGUUCAUUAAAGUUCCUUACUUUGCUGGACAAAGCAA